UACGAAGGGGGCUAGCGUUGCUCGGAAUUACUGGGCGUAAAGGGCUUGUAGGUGGCCAACUAAGUCAGACGUGAAAUCCCUCGGCUUAACCGGGGAACUGCGUCUGAUACUGGAUGGCUCGAGUGUGGGAGAGGGAUGCGGAAUUCCAGGUGUAGCGGUGAAAUGCGUAGAUAUCGCUUGGAACGCCGAAGGCGAAAGCAGGCUGCUGGGGACGCGCCGACGCUGAGACACGAAAGCCAGGGGAGCAAACGGG
rnacentral:rRNA from 1 species